rnacentral:rRNA from 1 species
UGAAGCACCCGCGCCUAUCCAGCUUGUGGGGGAGUAAUGGCCUCCACAGGGCGACGACGGGUACCCCCCCUAAGAGGGCCCCCGGCCACAGGGGGAUUGAACCGCGCCCCAGAUUCUUAGGGGAGGCAGCAGUGGGGAAUAUUGCACAAUGGGCGAAAGCCUGAUGCAGCGACCCCGCUUGAGGGAUGACGGCCUUCGGGUUGUAAACCUCUUUCAGCAGGGAAGAAGCGAAAGUGACGGUACCUGCAGAAGAAGCGCCGGCUAACUACGUGCCAGCAGCCGCGGUAAUACGUAGGGCGCAAGCGUUGUCCGGAAUUAUUGGGCGUAAAGAGCUCGUAGGCGGCUUGUCACGUCGGGUGUGAAAGCCCGGGGCUUAACCCCGGGUCUGCAUUCGAUACGGGCAGGCUAGAGUGUGGUAGGGGAGAUCGGAAUUCCUGGUGUAGCGGUGAAAUGCGCAGAUAUCAGGAGGAACACCGGUGGCGAAGGCGGAUCUCUGGGCCAUUACUGACGCUGAGGAGCGAAAGCGUGGGGAGCGAACAGGAUUAGAUACCCUGGUAGUCCACGCCGUAAACGGUGGGAACUAGGUGUUGGCGACAUUCCACGUCGUCGGUGCCGCAGCUAACGCAUUAAGUUCCCCGCCUGGGGAGUACGGCCGCAAGGCUAAAACUCAAAGGAAUUGACGGGGGCCCGCACAAGCAGCGGAGCAUGUGGCUUAAUUCGACGCAACGCGAAGAACCUUACCAAGGCUUGACAUACACCGGAAACAUCCAGAGAUGGGUGCCCCCUUGUGGUCGGUGUACAGGUGGUGCAUGGCUGUCGUCAGCUCGUGUCGUGAGAUGUUGGGUUAAGUCCCGCAACGAGCGCAACCCUUGUUCUGUGUUGCCAGCAUGCCCUUCGGGGUGAUGGGGACUCACAGGAGACCGCCGGGGUCAACUCGGAGGAAGGUGGGGACGACGUCAAGUCAUCAUGCCCCUUAUGUCUUGGGCUGCACACGUGCUACAAUGGCCGGUACAAUGAGCUGCGAUACCGUGAGGUGGAGCGAAUCUCAAAAAGCCGGUCUCAGUUCGGAUUGGGGUCUGCAACUCGACCCCAUGAAGUCGGAGUUGCUAGUAAUCGCAGAUCAGCAUUGCUGCGGUGAAUACGUUCCCGGGCCUUGUACACACCGCCCGUCACGUCACGAAAGUCGGUAACACCCGAAGCCGGUGGCCCAACCCCUUGUGGGAGGGAGCUGUCGAAGGGGACUGCAUGGCCG